rnacentral:rRNA from 1 species
CGGCAGCUAUACAUGCAAGUCGAACGGGAUUCAAAGUAGCAAUAUUUUGAUGAGAGUGGCGCACGGGUGAGUAACACGUAUGCAAUUUACCUUUAACUGGGGGAUAGCCCUCCGAAAGGAGGAUUAAUACCGCAUAAUAUAUUGAAAUGGCAUCAUUUUAAUAUUAAACCUACGGGGGUUAAAGAUGAGCAUGCAUCCGAUUAGCUAGUUGGUGUGGUAACGGCUCACCAAGGCAACGAUCGGUAGGGGGUCUGAGAGGAUGAUCCCCCACACUGGUACUGAGACACGGACCAGACUCCUACGGGAGGCAGCAGUAAGGAAUAUUGGACAAUGGAGGCAACUCUGAUCCAGCCAUGCCGCGUGAAGGAUUAAGGCCCUAUGGGUUGUAAACUUCUUUUAGACGGGACAAAACCCCUUUACGUGUAAAGGGUUGAUGGUACUGUCAGAAUAAGCAUCGGCUAACUUCGUGCCAGCAGCCGCGGUAAUACGAAGGAUGCAAGCGUUAUCCGGAAUUAUUGGGUUUAAAGGGUGCGUAGGCGGACUAAUAAGUCAGUGGUGAAAGCCUGCAGCUUAACUGCAGAAUUGCCGUUGAUACUGUUAGUCUUGAGUACAGUUGAGGUAGGCGGAAUGUGUCAUGUAGCGGUGAAAUGCUUAGAUAUGACACAGAACACCGAUUGCGAAGGCAGCUUGCUAAGCUGUAACUGACGCUGAGGCACGAAAGCGUGGGGGAGCAAACAGGAUUAGAUACCCUGGUAGUCCACGCCCUAAACGAUGAGGACUAGAUGUCGGAAGGGGUCUGCCUUUCGGUGUCGCAGCUAAACGCGUUAAGUCCUCCCGCCUGGGGGAGUACGGCCCGCAAGGUUUGAAACUCAAAGG